GAUGAACGCUGGCGGCGUGCCUAAUACAUGCAAGUCGAGCGAACGGACGAGAAGCUUGCUUCUCUGAUGUUAGCGGCGGACGGGUGAGUAACACGUGGAUAACCUACCUAUAAGACUGGGAUAACUUCGGGAAACCGUAGCUAAUACCGGAUAAUAUUUUGAACCGCAGGGUUCAAAAGUGAAAGACGGUCUUCCUGUCACUUAUAGAUGGAUCCGCGCUGCAUUAGCUAGUUGGUAAGGUAACGGCUUACCAAGGCAACGAUGCAUAGCCGACCUGAGAGGGUGAUCGGCCACCCUGGAACGGGGCCAGGCUCCAGACUCCUACGGGAGGGCGCAGUAGGGAAUCUUCCGCAGUGGGCGAAAGCCUGACGGAGCACCGCCGCGUGAGUGAUGAAGGUCUUCGGAUCGUAAAACUCUGUUAUUAGGGAAGAACAUAUGUGUAAGUAACUGUGCACAUCUUGACGGUACCUAGUCAGAAAGCCACGGCUAACUACGUG
rnacentral:rRNA from 1 species